rnacentral:lncRNA from 1 species
CGCAGCGGUACAGGUGUGCAAAGCACAGGUGCACACAGGUGCACCGGUGCACAGGUGUGCCCAGGUGUGCAGGUGUGCAAAGCACAGGUGUGCAGGUGCGCAUUGUACAGGUGUGUACAGGUGUGCAAAGGUGUGUGUACAGGUGUGUACAGGUGUGUGCAGGUGUGUGCAGGUGUGUGCAGGUGUGCAAAGGUGUGUGUACAGGUGUGUAC